rnacentral:rRNA from 1 species
UGGGGGAUAUUGCACAAUGGGCGAAAGCCUGAUGCAGCGACGCCGCGUGGGGGAUGGAGGCUUUCGGGUUGUAAACCUCUUUCGCUAUCGAACAAGGCCCGCUUAGGGUGGGUUGAGGGUAGGUGGAGAAGAAGCGCCGGCUAACUACGUGCCAGCAGCCGCGGUAAUACGUAGGGCGCGAGCGUUGUCCGGCAUUAUUGGGCGUAAAGGGCUUGUAGGCGGCUUGUUGCGCCUGCUGUGAAAACGCGGGGCUUAACUUCGCGCGUGCAGUGGGUACGGGCAGGCUUGAGUGUGGUAGGGGUGACUGGAAUUCCAGGUGUAGCGGUGGAAUGCGCAGAUAUCUGGAGGAACACCGAUGGCGAAGGCAGGUCACUGGGCCAUUACUGACGCUGAGGAGCGAAAGCAUGGGUAGCGAACAGG